CAACAAGGGAAAGACUUCCUCUUUCGACGUCGCAGAGAAGAGAAGAAGAAAACAACGGUGAAGAAACAAAGAACGACGAAAGAAAGAGAAGAGGGUGGCGACGACAGCGACUAUCACAGAGAAGGAUGUUAGAUCGACAGAAAAAAGAAGAGAAAUGAGGCGACGGCGGUGAUGGAUGCCACCGCCGCUAUUGGAUUCGUAGAACCGUGUCCAUUUACCUAUCAAGAGGCAUUCUGCAGAGUGAUUCAUUUGAGAUGUGGAGUAUACACAAAUCAAUUUGUGGCUCAAAAUACCUAGACAUAUCACCAGUGAAAAAGUAGGAGAAAUUCACUGGUGAUGGAAGCAGUAACUGACAGAGAAGAUAGAGAAUGUGUAUUUUCGACCUGCAGAAAGUCCUAGCCCUAACCUUGCACACUUUGCCCUUCUUCAGAGAUGGUGUCAAGUUUUAGAUGGAAUAAAUUGAAAAAGCUAAAUCAGCUCUGGCUAAGAAUGAGGCUGGGCUUUCAAAAUUGAUAAAAGAAGAAAGCACACUUAAAGAUAUUGUGCAAUAGCUAAGUGGCAUCCUUUUUCUUUCAUGCUACUCAUGACUGACUCUGAACUUGAAUGUAAUGAAAAACGGCUGCCAGAUGCACCAGACAGGACACCGGCUGCCAAUAUUAAAGGUAGCUGAAGCAUUGCAUUUUUAGGCCUCGAUGAAAAACGCAACAAAUGCUAUGGAGUCACGCAUUUUUGACUUUUUUGGAUCACUUAAUGCAUUGCAAUAUAGAAGGAUGGAUUUUGAUGAGUUUCGUACAGCUACACUCAGUGUUCAUCAACUUGAAGCACUUGAUAGGUGGGAGCAAC